UACGUAGGGUGCAAGCGUUAAUCGGAAUUACUGGGCGUAAAGCGUGCGCAGGCGGUUUUGUAAGUCAGAUGUGAAAUCCCCGGGCUUAACCUGGGACUGCGUUUGAAACUACAAGGCUAGAGUGUGACAGAGGGGGGGUGGAAUUCCACGUGUAGCAGUGAAAUGCGUAGAGAUGUGGAGGAACACCGAUGGCGAAGGCAGCCCCCUGGGUUAACACUGACGCUCAGGCACGAAAGCGUGGGGAGCAAACAGG
rnacentral:rRNA from 1 species